rnacentral:tRNA from 1 species
GUUAUAUUAGCUUAAUUGGUAGAGCAUUCGUUUUGUAAUCGAAAGGUUUGGGG